rnacentral:rRNA from 1 species
AGCACUCUAUUUGAUUUUCUUCGGAAAUGAAGAUUUUGUGACUGAGUGGCGGACGGGUGAGUAACGCGUGGGUAACCUGCCUCAUACAGGGGGAUAACAGUUGGAAACGACUGCUAAUACCGCAUAAGCGCACAGGAUCGCAUGAUCCGGUGUGAAAAACUCCGGUGGUAUGAGAUGGACCCGCGUCUGAUUAGCCAGUUGGCAGGGUAACGGCCUACCAAAGCGACGAUCAGUAGCCGACCUGAGAGGGUGACCGGCCACAUUGGGACUGAGACACGGCCCAAACUCCUACGGGAGGCAGCAGUGGGGAAUAUUGCACAAUGGGGGAAACCCUGAUGCAGCGACGCCGCGUGAGCGAAGAAGUAUUUCGGUAUGUAAAGCUCUAUCAGCAGGGAAGAAGAAUGACGGUACCUGACUAAGAAGCACCGGCUAAAUACGUGCCAGCAGCCGCGGUAAUACGUAUGGUGCAAGCGUUAUCCGGAUUUACUGGGUGUAAAGGGAGCGCAGGCGGUGCGGCAAGUCUGAUGUGAAAGCCCGGGGCUCAACCCCGGUACUGCAUUGGAAACUGUCGUACUAGAGUGUCGGAGGGAUAAGUGGAAUUCCUAGUGUAGCGGUGAAAUGCGUAGAUAUUAGGAGGAACACCAGUGGCGAAGGCGGCUUACUGGACGAUAACUGACGCUGAGGCUCGAAAGCGUGGGGAGCAAACAGGAUUAGAUACCCUGGUAGUCCACGCCGUAAACGA